GUUUCAGACGAACUCUUGUGGUGUUGAAGC
rnacentral:other from 1 species